GACGAACCGUGCGAACGUUGUUCGGAUUCACUGGGCUUAAAGGGCGCGUAGGCGGGUUGUCAAGUCAGGGGUGAAAGCCUCCAGCUCAACUGGAGAAGUGCCUUUGAUACUGAUGAUCUUGAGGGAGGUAGGGGCAUGUGGAACUUCCGGUGGAGCGGUGAAAUGCGUAGAUAUGCGGAGGAACACCGAUGGCGAAGGCAAUCCCCUGGACCUGUACUGACGCUCAUGCACGAAAGCGUGGGGAGCAAACAGG
rnacentral:rRNA from 1 species